UCCGAGUUGACCCCGGCAGUCUCCCAUGAGUCCCCACCAUCACGUGCUGGCAACAUGGAACGAGGGUUGCGCUCGUUGCGGGACUUAACCCAACAUCUCACGACACGAGCUGACGACAACCAUGCACCACCUGUAAACCGACCGCAAGCGGGGCACCUGUUUCCAGGUGUUUCCGGUUCAUGUCAAGCCUUGGUAAGGUGGGGAUGCGUCUUGGAAG
rnacentral:misc_RNA from 1 species